GCCGCCGGAAGCCGUGAGAGGGGCACGCCCGUGCGCUUUGCCCACGCCCCUAGGUUCCGCCCCCGCCCCGCCCCUCGAAGAGGAGUUAGCUGCCGUGGGGCGCAGACUCGCAAAGACCCUGGGACCUCCCAGGCUGACGGGUCCUUUCGCUGCAACUGUGCAGGGAGUUGGCGCGUCCACCCCGCCAGGAUUGGGAGGAGGUACGAGCUGGGACUUGGGAGAAGAAAUGACCAGGAAAUCCAGUCGCCUGUACCGGUGACCCAGUCCCCUCUAAAUUCCCAGUCUGCUAGUGGGGCAGUUUGGCUGCAGAAACCCGACUGAGCUUGAGAGCACCUAGGGAAGCCAUGCCUCUGGUUCCAUCUGCCCACCCUUCAUCCAGAACCAAGAGGCCACCUCACUCAGUGAGGGGCUAAAUGGCAAGAACUGAUAGAGAAAGCCAGGGCAGAGGUCACCGUGCCACUCAAGCUCACCCUUACCCUGGCCCACACUUACCCACACACACUUUUCCUUCCCCCACCUCCAGGUCCCAAGGGGCAAAAACUGGAAGGGACCCGAGCUUGCUUCUCUCUUUUAUUGAAAUAUAUUUUCUGGGCACUGCCCACCUACCUAAUUCAGCAUGGCCUCUUUGGCACUGAAAGCUGGAGAAUAAAAAACCAGUAAAAAAAAUAA